AUUGGUUUCUCAUUACCAUUAUUGCCUUCUGAUUAUUUACCUAUACAGUGUCUCAAUGGCCUCAAGCUCAGCUUGGACAACAAAGCAGAACAAAAAGUUUGAGAAUGCUUUGGCCAUCUACGACAGGGAAACCCCAGAUCUGUAGAAGAACUUGGUCAGGGCCGUGGGAGGGAAGACGGUUGAGGAAGUUAAAAGGCACUAUGAGAUGCUCGUUGAUGAUUUGAAGCAAAUUGAAGAAGGUCACGUGCCCUUGCCUAAUUACAGAAAUGUUGCUGCAACAGGAGGAAGCAGCAUCAGAGGCUACAGUUACAUGGAGGAAGAACAAAGGAAGAAGGCUCUAAGCCUCCGCUGAAGUAUAAGAAAGAGACAUGCAUGUUAGCUCAUUGCGAACCAAUCAAGCUAAGUGAAGAUUAAAAUGCAUGCAUGAUGCACCUAGUUUGGUUUUAUCAUUAUAUGAUAACAAAAUCAAGUGUCAUUUAAUUUUGGUUGGUCUCUUAUUUUUCUGUAUAUGCCUUGCAUCCAUGCCGUGUAAUCCUUAUAAAUGUAAAAA
rnacentral:lncRNA from 1 species